GGACUAGAAGCUUAAAUUUUUAAGAAAAUAUUAAAGAAAUUCGGAAAAUCGAGUGCGGUUUAAGAAUUUUAACGUAAAAGAUAAAAAUUUUAUGUGUUACAUCAUUGGUCCAAUAGAGAACGAGAGAAUAUCUUGUUGAUUGAUAUCUGUAUCAAGGGAUAUAUAAAAAUUAUAGAAGGAUUAAAACUUGAUUCAAGAAUUUCUAAGAUAAUCCCUGACAUGAAAAUAAAGAUCCGAAUAAGUCAAACUUGUCAAUUGUCGUGAUGUAAUGAAUCAAUUAAGCGCACCAUUCUCCACAGUUUUCAACUGACUGAUACGAUGAUACAAUUUAUCAAUCAAUCUCCUGUUAUAUAUACAGGAUAGUCCAAAUUAGUUAACUCAGUCAGCUGGCAUUCGGUUGACUAACUUUUGGUCAUCUGUAUUACGACAUUUCUACUCAUACGGGAUAUUCGAUUGUCGUUUUAGAAAGAUCUGAAGAGCC